UACGUAGGGCGCAAGCGUUGUCCGGAAUUAUUGGGCGUAAAGAGCUCGUAGGCGGCUUGUCACGUCGGAUGUGAAAGCCCGGGGCUUAACUCCGGGUCUGCAUUCGAUACGGGCUGGCUAGAGUGUGGUAGGGGAGAUCGGAAUUCCUGGUGUAGCGGUGAAAUGCGCAGAUAUCAGGAGGAACACCGGUGGCGAAGGCGGCUUGCUGGGCCUUACCUGACGCUGAGGAGCGAAAGCGUGGGGAGCGAACAGG
rnacentral:rRNA from 1 species